rnacentral:rRNA from 1 species
GAUGAACGCUGGCGGCGUGCCUAAUACAUGCCAGUCGAGCGAACGGACGAGAAGCUUGCUUCUCUGAUGUUAGCGGCGGACGGGUGAGUAACACGUGGAUAACCUACCUAUAAGACUGGGAUAACUUCGGGAAACCGGAGCUAAUACCGGAUAAUAUUUUGAACCGCAUGGUUCAAAAGUGAAAGACGGUCUUGCUGUCACUUAUAGAUGGAUCCGCGCUGCAUUAGCUAGUUGGUAAGGUAACGGCUUACCAAGGCAACGAUGCAUAGCCGACCUGAGAGGGUGAUCGGCCACACUGGAAGUGAGACACGGUCCAGACUCCUACGGGAGGCAGCAGUAGGGAAUCUUACGCAAUGGGCGAAAGCCUGACGGAGCAACGCCGCGUGAGUGAUGAAGGUCUUCGGAUCGUAAAACUCUGUUAUUAGGGAAGAACAUAUGUGUAAGUAACUGUGCACAUCUUGACGGUACCUAAUCAGAAAGCCACGGCUAACUACGUG